rnacentral:rRNA from 1 species
UAGCCGUAAACGAUACUCGCUAGGUGUCGGCCACGGUGCGACCGUUGUCGGUGCCGUAGGGAAGCCGUGAAGCGAGCCACCUGGGAAGUACGGCCGCAAAGGCUGAAACUUAAAGGAAUUGGCGGGGGAGCACAACAACGGGUGGAGCUUGCGGUUUAAUUGGAUUCAACGCCGGAAAUCUUACCGGGACCGACAGCAACAUGAAGGCCAAGCUGAAGACUUUGCCGGAUUAGCUGAGAGGAGGUGCAUGGCGUAGUCGUGU